CUCCUUUGCUGACUCCAACAGAGAAGUCACCACAUCGUCGCUGACUGCCGUCACGCUGUGAUUAGUUAAUCACUAAGUACAUGGGGCUUUUAAUUAACUGCCAGCCUUUCUUGGGCAGCUGUUGCACAAGCCGCAUCUGAUCAUGGCUCCCCGGUCCAGGCUGAUGGAACAUUCAGUCACAUACUUGAUGCUUAGCUAUUCUGAUGCAGAGGAGGAGACAGCUGUGCAACUGCAGCCCUAAUGGAAGCCACCAGCCACAGGAAGGAGGGAGGAAGGCAGCUAUCAGCUGAGGGCCUUCAGAUUUGUCUUCUGGAAAUUCCACGAGUGACUGAGAUCACGCACAAGGCCCUGCAGCUGCGUUCACCAUGCUGUUUCUACCCCAUCAAUGGAGAGAGAGCAGAUUCAAAGCCUGGGGCUCAUUUAAUUUUUUUUAUUUUUAAUUUUGUUUUUAAU
rnacentral:lncRNA from 1 species